CAGCUCCGCGGUAAUGGAGGCUAGGGAUGGGUGCUGAAGUAUCAGGCUCUGGCUCUAGCUUUAGCUCUGGCACUGGAACUGCGUCGGAGUCUGGGUCUGAGUCUGGCAGCCCGAAGCCUGGACACCUUUUCUUGAUUCUCUAGGCGGGGGCUGCCUGCGUCCAAGCAGCUGGUUUGCAGCGUUCCAACGCUGGGAGGGAGUUCCCUUACCUGGGGUCCAGUCUGUAAAGUUGUCGCCGCUUUCUAGGGACCCCGCCCCACCGGCUGGGACUCUUCCAUGCAGUUGAAACUGGUUGACAACCAUUAACCUGGGUUGCAACUACAGGUGGCACUGGAAGCAGACUGGUUCCUGGACAUGCCCGGUGGAAGGAGGGGCCCUAGUCGGCAACAGCUAAGCCGUUCAGCUUUACCUUCUUUGCAGACUUUGGUUGGUGGAGGCUGUGGCAAUGGAACAGGCUUGAGAAACAGGAAUGGUAGUGCUAUUGGCCUUCCAGUCCCACCUAUCACAGCCUUAAUCACCCCAGGUCCUGUUCGUCAUUGCCAAAUUCCUGACUUGCCUGUGGAUGGGAGCCUACUCUUUGAAUUCCUUUUUUUCAUCUACCUGUUGGUUGCUCUUUUCAUUCAGUACAUCAACAUUUAUAAAACAGUGUGGUGGUAUCCUUACAAUCAUCCUGCUUCUUGUACAUCACUGAAUUUUCAUCUCAUUGAUUAUCAUCUGGCAGCAUUCAUCACAGUGAUGCUUGCGAGGAGGCUUGUAUGGGCUCUCAUCUCAGAGGUCUGUGUGUGUAAGCUCUGAUUUUCAGGAACCCUAUUUCUGGAAGCAGAGUAACUGGAAAUACUAAGUCAAGAUCUGAAAACCAUUUGAAGUUAACCAAAAAGCACAGGCUACUAAGGCAGGUGCAGCAUCAAUGAUUCACUACAUGGUUCUGAUAUCAGCUCGCUUGGUACUACUCACUUUGUGUGGAUGGGUACUUUGUUGGACCCUCGUCAAUCUCUUUCGAAGCCAUUCAGUCCUCAAUCUCCUUUUCCUUGGCUACCCGUUUGGUGUUUAUGUUCCUCUUUGCUGUUUUCAUCAAGAUAGUAGAGCACAUCUUCUUCUCACAGACUACAACUAUGUGGUUCAGCACGAGGCAGUAGAGGAAAGUGCCUCGACUGUGGGAGGCUUGGCCAAAUCCAAAGACUUUCUCUCCUUGUUGCUGGAGUCGCUAAAAGAACAGUUUAAUAAUGCCACACCCAUCCCCACCCACAGUUGUCCCCUAUCUCCAGACCUCAUUCGCAAUGAAGUAGAAUGUCUGAAAGCAGAUUUCAACCACAGAAUCAAGGAGGUUCUCUUCAACUCCCUCUUCAGUGCCUACUAUGUUGCAUUUCUCCCCCUGUGUUUUGUGAAGAGUACCCAGUACUAUGACAUGCGCUGGUCAUGUGAGCACCUCAUUAUGGUGUGGAUCAAUGCUUUUGUCAUGCUCACCACGCAACUGUUGCCAUCCAAAUACUGUGAUUUGCUACAUAAAUCAGCUGCUCACCUGGGCAAGUGGCAGAAGUUGGAACAUGGGUCCUACAGCAAUGCUCCACAGCACAUUUGGUCAGAAAAUACAAUAUGGCCUCAAGGGGUGCUGGUGCGGCACAGCAGAUGUUUAUAUAGAGCCAUGGGGCCUUACAACGUGGCAGUGCCUUCAGAUGUAUCUCAUGCCCGCUUUUAUUUCUUAUUUCAUCGACCAUUAAGGCUGUUAAAUCUGCUCAUCCUUAUUGAGGGCAGUGUCGUCUUCUAUCAGCUCUAUUCCUUGCUGCGGUCGGAGAAGUGGAACCACACACUUUCCAUGGCUCUCAUCCUCUUCUGCAACUACUAUGUUUUAUUUAAACUUCUCCGGGACAGAAUAGUAUUAGGCAGGGCAUACUCCUACCCACUCAACAGUUAUGAACUCAAGGCAAACUAAGCUGCCUCUCAACAAUGAGGGAGAACUCAGAUAAAAAUAUUUUCAUACGUUCUAUUUUUUUCUUGUGAUUUUUAUAAAUAUUUAAGAUAUUUUAUAUUUUGUAUACUAUUAUGUUUUGAAAGUCGGGAAGAGUAAGGGAUAUUAAAUGUAUCCGUAAACAAGGUGAUGUGAUCUUUCAUGUGUUAGUAUAUUCGAAUAAUAUACAUAUGAGAGGUAUGCCUGUCCAGUAAAGAGAUUGAUUUGUUUGUAUGGCUCUGGAAUAACUCAUUCGUUUAUGAACACAUCUCAUGUAUUACUUGACACAGUACCUUUGGUAUGUCUGCUUUUCUUUCAAUCCUCAUUAUCUUUAGCCCUCAGCUGGCCAGUACUUAUUGCUAAAGAAAGGGAGAUCAAUGGAGUUGCCUACCAGCACCCAUUCUCUUUUAGUUCAGCUGGCUAAUAGUAUUGGAAUACAUUGGGAAAAGAGUGGGUUAAAGUCCUAGGUGGGGUUCUCUUUGUUGCCUACCAGGAGAAAGCAGUAGGCUUCCUUUCUAAGAUACGGACUCAGCUGGUCUAUUUUACCCUGUGACAUUUAAAUAUACUUUUGAAUAAGCUACUAUCCUGAGGCUGAGGGUUUUGCUGCCACUUUUCCUGUGUUUCCACUUCUGCUUCCAAAGAUUUUCCUCUUAGUUGUUUGAAAUAAUACUUUGCCAGACAGGAAGUCUUUAGACUGCCCACAUUCAUGAAGAAGAUGAUGUGUGGCUGGAUCAGUAGGAGAAGCUGAGUGCAAAUGCCAUGUGGGCUAGAGUAUGGGAAGGUUGAAAAUUCCAAGUAACUGGGAGAGUGGGCAAGUCCUCAGCUGAACAAUCUUGGAUGUAGUCUAGCAGCAACCCACCUACAAUGGCGUUAUGUUUGGAGUUAUGAGGGGAAGUGAAAGAUAAGAAUUACCUACAGCUUUGUACUCAGAUAAUUUAUAUCCAAAAUUUGUGUUUUAAAUUUCAUACUCCAGAACUUUCAUGUUUAUGAGUAUUAGCCUUUUAAGUUAUGGGAGGUGAUAUACUUAGUCCAUUGAUGUUGUCACUUGUCAUCUAAACUUAUGAGACCUUGUCUUAGAGAAUCUAAAAUAUAUUGUCAUAUGUUUUCUGUGCUGAGUUUGGUUUGUUACACUGUGAAGCUUUUGGUGAAACAAAAUAAGACUUAUGAAGUAAAAAGACCAAUCAUGUCGUUGACAAGCUGGCUCUGAAAAUAAUUCUUGCAGAAGAGUUCCUGAAAGGCUUCACCAAGGGGAAGUAUUGUGAGGAGUGUUUGUAAAACCAAGGUACCCAAUAUCAGUUUUAUGUUUAAAUCAAUAAUUGUUUCUUUAAAUAUUUUGAUGUGUAUACUUUUUUUUUAAGUUAACAUUAUUUGGCAUUCAGUCUGAGUCUGUUCAACCAUUCAACAAAUAUAUAUUAACCAGUAGGCACUAUAUUAGGCCCUGGGGAUAUAGCAGUGAAUGAGAAAUGCAAAGGUCCUACUUGCACAGAGCUUACAAUAUGCGUGGGGGUGGGGGAGUUAGGUGGUGCAGAAAAUACAGCAAAUAAAUUUAUGUGUAAUAUAACAUUCCCUGGUAGUAGUGAUAAGUGUAGCAAAGGGAAAUCAGGACAAGGAAAUAGUGGUAAGAAUAGCACUGCUAGAAGGCAUCUUUGAGGAGAUGAUUUUUAAGCAAAGAAAAAGCAAGACUGAAUCAUAUAAAUAGCUUUGGGGAGAAUUCCAUGUUACAGUAGCAGAAAGGGCAGUGCCCUGAGGUGGGGACAAGUUGGUAUAUUGGAAGAAUAGCAAGAAAAUAUAUUAGGUUAGUUGCUUUUUAAAGUAGUUCAGCCUAAAUAUAGUGGUUCUUGAGGUAGGGGUGGGAAGGGUAGGGAAUCUGCCAUCUUUCUAUUCUUUCUGUAGGAUCUUGAAAAUAUGCUUCUCUUGGCAGCAACAUUUUCAUGAGAUUACUCAGCAGUUGAGAGCAAAAUGGGUGGCAUGGGCACAGAGAUAUCUCAUCAAAAUUGCCCCAACUUGGCUCCAGCUUGGGAAAGUAACCCAGAAAACCCUGAUUAGAGAUAACAGACCAGUCUUAUGAACUAAUAUGAUGCCCCUUCUGGCUUGAUCUGUCUUGGUCCUAUCCUAAGGGAAUAGCACAGAACCAGAUGCUGGCUUGGCUAAAUAAGUAAGUGGAUAUAAGAAAUAAAUAAAAAUUAAUUUUGGCUAAUGGAAUUGCAAAGUUCCUCCUACCCUCACCUCCAGAUAUGGCAGCAUACGGGGCAUAAGACCGUUUAGUUCAACGUGUUCUACACAUUCCAGCUGUUUUUUGUUUGUUUGUUUUGUUGUUUUGUUUUUGUAGGGGCCACGUUCAUGGAAGAGAGAAAAAUUACUAGUUACCCGGAUAUCCUAUUAUAGUUCAUGUAACAGAAGGGACACUAUAUUUGCUCACUGAUAGUAGAAAAAUGUGUAAUCAUUAAAGAAUGACCUUUUUUGUAAUUCUUUGUUGGCAAGUUAAAAUUGUUUGUGGAAAGCAUGGUAUAGCAAAAGUUCAGUUGGGUGAACUGGGAUACUGGAAAAGGAAAGAAGAUACUUGACUAGUCUGGGUGGUCUAAGGUGGGUAAAUAAAGGAGUAGAGGAGGGUAGUUCACAGGAAUGAGCAUGACAGAAGUUUUCCUCAAUAUCCUGUUUACUCUGAUUCCAUGUUUAUAUUCCUAAUCCUCCUUUCCUUCCUGUCCCUAUCAGUCACCACCACUGCCACCUGUUGUGCCGUUUCUCUCUCUUUUUUUUAAUUAAUUUUUUUAUUUCUAUUAAGCUAGCCAGGCAUCUCAUUUCUAUGUACUGGGCAAUUAUAUGCCAAACACUGCUGGGUGCCGGAGAUAGUGAUGUUCGAGUUCAUUAACUAAUAGAAGACAGACAAGUAAACCAGUUGUCACACUAGGGUGUUCAUUAACAGAAAUAUGUAUGAGAUACGUAAUAGAUAUCAGAUCUAUUAACAAUCUUGAGUGUGAAGCCCAAUAAAGUGCUCUUUUCAUAAGUACUUCAAAUAA